CCUUCUUCCACCAGUUUUUUUUCAUUAUUUUUUUCUUUUUAUUUUUUAUAUUUUAAUUCUUUUGUAAAUAUUGUCAAAUUUGAUUCAUGAAAAAAUAUUCUAUAUACAUCGUAAAUUUAAUAUAGUAUAAAAAUAUCAAAAAUCAAUAAUUUCUGAAUAUUUUAUUUUCUCUUUUUUCAUUAAAACUUUACAACUUCUUAUUUAUAUUUGUAUAUGAAAAUAUUUAUUUAUUUAUUAUGAUGCGUAAUACUC
rnacentral:lncRNA from 1 species